rnacentral:rRNA from 1 species
GUGUCAGCAGCCGCGGUAAUACGUAGGGGGCGAGCGUUGUCCGAAGUUACUGGGCGUAAAGCGCGCGUAGGCGGGGGAUUAAGUGAGAGGUGAAAGGCUGAGGCUCAACCUCAUGCAGUGCCUCUCAUACUGGUCUUCUUGAGGGCGGUAGGGAGAAGUGGAAUGGCUGGUGUAGCGGUGAAAUGCGUAGAUAUCAGUCGGAACACCGGUGGCGAAGGCGGCUUCUUGGGCCGUUCCUGACGCUGAUGCGCGAAAGCUGGGGGAGCGAACGGGAUUAGAUACCCCGGUAGUCCCAGCCGUAAACGAUGGAUACUAGGUGUUGGGGGUAUCGACCCCUCCAGUGCCGCAGCUAACGCAUUAAGUAUCCCGCCUGGGGAGUACGGCCGCAAGGUUGAA